rnacentral:rRNA from 1 species
CCUACGGGUGGCAGCAGUGAGGAAUAUUGGUCAAUGGGCGCAAGCCUGAACCAGCCAAGUCGCGUGAGGGAUGACGGUCCUACGGAUUGUAAACCCCUUUUGCCGGGGAGCAAGCGUGCUUUCGUGAACGCGCGUCGAGUGUACCUGGAGAAAAAGCAUCGGCUACCUCCGUGCCAGCAGCCGGGGUAAAACGGAGGAUGCGAGGGUUAUCGGGAUUUAUUGGGUUAAAGGGAUUCUAAGGCGCGAGGCCAAGGCAGCGGUAAAUGUGCGGGCUUAACCGGCGCCGAGCCGUGGAAACUGGCGUUCUUGAGUGGGCGAGAAGUAUGCGGAAUGCGUGGGGUAGCGGUGAAAUGCAUAGAUAUCACGCAGAACCCCGAUUGCGAAGGCAGCAUACCGGCGCCCUACUGACGCUGAGGCACGAAAGCGUGGGUAUCGAACAGGAUUAGAUACCCGGGUAGUC